GUGGCGAACGGGUGAGUAACGCGUAAGCAAUCUGCCCCUAAGACGAGGAUAACAGUUGGAAACGACUGCUAAGACUGGAUAGGAGACAAGAGGGCAUCUUCUUGUUUUUAAAAGACCUAGCAAUAGGUAUGCUUAGGGAGGAGCUUGCGUCACAUUAGUUAGUUGGUGGGGUAAAGGCCUAACAAGACUAUGAUGUGUAGCCGGGCUGAGAGGUUGAACGGCCACAUUGGGACUGAGACACGGCCCAAACUCCUACGGGAGGCAGCAGUAGGGAAUUUUCGGCAAUGGAGGAAACUCUGACCGAGCAACGCCGCGUGAACGAUGAAGUAUUUCGGUACGUAAAGUUCUUUUAUUAGGGAAGAAUAAAUGAUGGAAAAAUCAUUCUGACGGUACCUAAUGAAUAAGCCCCGGCUAACUAUGUGCCAGCAGCCGCGGUAAUACAUAGGGGGCAAGCGUUAUCCGGAAUUAUUGGGCGUAAAGGGUGCGUAGGCGGUUAAAUAAGUUUAUGGUCUAAGUGCAAUGCUCAACAUUGUGAUGCUAUAAAAACUGUUUAGCUAGAGUAAGAUAGAGGCAAGUGGAAUUCCAUGUGUAGUGGUAAAAUGCGUAAAUAUAUGGAGGAACACCAGUAGCGAAGGCGGCUUGCUGGGUCUUUACUGACGCUGAGGCACGAAAGCGUGGGGAGCAAACAGGAUUAGAUACCCUGGUAGUCCACGCCGUAAACGAUGAGUACUAAACGUUGGGUAAAACCAGUGUUGAAGUUAACACAUUAAGUACUCCGCCUGAGUAGUACGUACGCAAGUAUGAAACUUAAAGGAAUUGACGGGACUCCGCACAAGCGGUGGAUCAUGUUGUUUAAUUCGAAGGUACCCGAAAAACCUCACCAGGUCUUGACAUGCUUCUGCAAAGCUGUAGAAACACAGUGGAGGUUAUCAGUUGCACAGGUGGUGCAUGGUUGUCGUCAGCUCGUGUCGUGAGAUGUUGGGUUAAGUCCCGCAACGAGCGCAACCCUUAUUGUUAGUUACCAGCACGUAAUGGUGGGGACUUUAGCAAGACUGCCAGUGAUAAAUUGGAGGAAGGUGGGGACGACGUCAAAUCAUCAUGCCCCUUAUGACCUGGGCUACAAACGUGAUACAAUGGCUGUUACAAAGGGUAGCUGAAGCGCAAGUUUUUGGCAAAUCUCAAAAAAACAGUCUCAGUUCGGAUUGAAGUCUGCAACUCGACUUCAUGAAGUUGGAAUCGCUAGUAAUCGCGAAUCAGCAUGUCGCGGUGAAUACGUUCUCGGGGUUUGUACACACCGCCCGUCAAACCACGAAAGUUGGCAAUACCCAAAGCCGGUG
rnacentral:rRNA from 1 species